rnacentral:misc_RNA from 1 species
UGAUGUAGGUUAUUGCCCAGGGUUUUAUUUUUAUAUUUUAAAUCUUGAUUUUAUUUUAUGUUUUUUAAAUUGUUUGUUAGGUUUUUUUGAAUGUGUUAUUUAAAUAAGCAUAAAAAAUAAAAUAUAUAUUGACCAUGGAUUAAAGCAAAGAUAUAU